AGAUUGAACGCUGGCGGCAUGCCUAACACAUGCAAGUCGAACGGGAGUAGCAAUACUCUAGUGGCGGACGGGUGAGGAAUACGUAGGAAUUUGCCCUUAAGUGGGGGAUAACCCGGGGAAACCCGGAUUAAUACCGCAUGACCUCGAAAGAGCAAAGUGGGGGAUCGCAAGACCUCACGCUUUUGGAGAAGCCUACGUCGGAUUAGCUAGUUGGUGAGGUAAUGGCUCACCAAGGCGACGAUCCGUAACUGGUCUGAGAGGAUGAUCAGUCACACCGGAACUGAGACACGGUCCGGACUCCUACGGGAGGCAGCAGUGGGGAAUAUUGGACAAUGGGCGCAAG
rnacentral:rRNA from 1 species